CAGAAUGAUUGUGCCGUUGUAGGAUUGGCUGCAUGUGAUCAAGACGGAGAGUAUAAAAAAAAAGAGGUCUUUUCUCUUGGACAGAGUUCACACCAGCUUACGCCGAAUUUACACAGCGACAUCACCAACACUGCCGGAACCGCCAUAGAUUCAGAAGCAGCUGUAGAAUCGGAGUAUCCACCAUCCCGCUGAGAAAUCCAGAGCAUCGAAACGCCAAGAGAAACACAAGAUGGCUGCUCGUGAAUUUGAAUACCCUGAAGGAUGUGACGAGUAUAGAAAGAAAACGCUCCGAAUGGUAACAGCUGCAUGGGAAUCCAGAAACGCUCUUUAUUGAUAGACGCAAUGGUACAAUAUGUAACCUUGUUUUCUAUACUACACAUGUAAGAAAAUGGCUGGCUGUAGUGAAGAGAAAGUAUCCUGAAUUAGAAGAAAUCCAACAGAACAAUACAAUCAGACUCAAGUCCAAGCAAGGCACCAUAACUUUCUAUCUUAGUGGCAAAGUUCUGGUACAUGGCAAAGAUCUAAUGGAGAGGUUUGAAGGAGAUUUUGAAGAAAUGAAAAACAAUUCCGAGCCACGCGCCUUAUCAGCACAAAUGGCAAAAUUGACCGUAAACGAGGAGGCAGAACAGCCUGAUGAGGAAGAACAGCCUGAUGAGGAAGAACAGUCUGAUGAGGAAGAACAGCCUAAUGAGGAAGAACAGCCUGAUGAGGAAGAACAGUCUGAUGAGGAAGAACAGUCUGAUGAGGAAGAACAGCCCGAUAAGCCAGAGCUCACCCCGAAAUAAUGUCUGAUGAAUAAGUAAGGACAGAAAAAAAGAAAAAUAACACACCAAAUGGAAUAUUACAAAUAACUGAUUCUUAAGCUUUAUCCUACCGUUUUAUUUCAUAAAUAACUGGGUUGUAAAAUCAAUUACAUAUUUUUUUCUAAUUUACAAUACAUUUCUCGUGCACUAUAUAUCUGUACACUUUCUGUUUCUGGUGUUUAUAUAUCGUUUUGGAUAAAUAUGUAAUGUUAAUGUGUCCUCUGAUUGUGUCUUAUGACCCGAGCACACGUUAGUCGAUCUGCAUGUUAUUGAGGAAGUAAGGAGCAGUCCUGUACGAUAAUGUCCAGUCACCCACCUUAUCAGCACAAAUUGCAGAAUUGACCAUAAAAACAGCCAGGUCACCCCACCCCGCCCAACCACCCACCCUCCCACCCUCCCAACUCAUGAGAGAUAAUGAAUAAGUAAAGGACAGAAAAAAAAUAAAAAAAUAAAAAGAGCUAGUCUGCAUGUUAUUGAGGAAGUAAGCAGCAGUCCUGUACUCACUGAGCAGGUGGUAGUUUGAGUCCCUCUCAUAUUUGAAGGUCAGUCUUCCAGAGCUGACAUGGUUGAGAUUCUUCAGACACUCGAAAUAAGACACUGUCACACCGCCAGCAUUCAGGUACAUGUCCUGCAGGAAGAAACAUCACAGAGUCAUCAGACAUCUGCCUGUUCGGUCCUCACUUCUGUGUGUGUAGAAUUAUCUGUGAUUUACCUUGUACUCUUUUUAAAUUUUGAUUUGGGAAUAAAAUGUUUUGUCUUCAACUAAAAGACACUGGAAUAAACUUUAAAUGAAAUGCUUUUGUGAAAUCAAUAUCUUUAAUAUGUUUGAGGAAACGUGUAAGAAGUAAAAACCUGUUGCUUAAACAAUAAAGGCUGGAUUAUUGUUUA